rnacentral:rRNA from 1 species
GAUGAACGCUGGCGGCGUGCCUAAUACAUGCAAGUCGAGCGAACAGACGAGGAGCUUGCUCCUCUGACGUUAGCGGCGGACGGGUGAGUAACACGUGGAUAACCUACCUAUAAGACUGGGAUAACUUCGGGAAACCGGAGCUAAUACCGGAUAAUAUAUUGAACCGCAUGGUUCAAUAGUGAAAGACGGUUUUGCUGUCACUUAUAGAUGGAUCCGCGCCGCAUUAGCUAGUUGGUAAGGUAACGGCUUACCAAGGCAACGAUGCGUAGCCGACCUGAGAGGGUGGUCGGCCACACUGGAACUAAGACACGGUCCAGACUCCUACGGGAGGCAGCAGUAGGGAAUCUUCCGCAAUGGGCGAAAGCCUGACGGAGCAACGCCGCGUGAGUGAUGAAGGUCUUCGGAUCGUAAAACUCUGUUAUUAGGGAAGAACAAAUGUGUAAGUAACUAUGCACGUCUUGACGGUACCUAAUCAGAAAGCCACGGCUAACUACGUG